CUUCCUCAGGACCGGCGGUUUUUUUGUAAUCCCUCGUCCCGUGGGUUGUGAUAAUCCCGAGGACUCCUCAAUAUACGUGUGCCUGAUGACAGCAGAAAUCCCCGUUGUGGAACCAGAAGCAACGCUUCCAUCUUCUUCUGUGUUUUCACCAAGGACCUCCCCUGGCACAAGCUCUCUUGCUCCCUUGGCUGGGAUGAGGUGCUGUGGCCCCAGGCAUGGGGCACACUGAGACAAACUGAGCAGCUUUUUGAAAAUGUCUUGAGAUCCUUGGCAAUGGAGAGAGAUUGCAGUGCAAGCACUUUUCUGGAUUACUCUGUCACCAACGUCAAAUCAAAGCAUCAAGGAUAUAAAUCUUCAGUAAACAUCUGGCCUCACUUCAGCCAGGUUCUGCAAUGCCUCAAGUACAUUCGGCAGCAGAUUAUGCUGUGUUCUCCAUUUGUGCAAUGCAAGCUAAUGUGAAUAUCAAGUCACAUCAGUGGUCUGGACAAGUAGUCAAGAGACAAAGACAGCAACCCAGACUGGGAAGUUCGACCUUUCAGCUCCAACUUAAAGGUCAUCAUGUUCGAUCAAGAUAUCAUCUCGUGACAGCUUUGUUGGUAUUCUCAGCAGUGCUUGGGAACAGUGGCUGAUCUUUCAUCACAAACUGUAAAGGCGGU